AUCGAACGCUAGCGGGAUGCCUUACACAUGCAAGUCGAACGGAGAGGCGAAAGGGUGAGGAAUGUAUCGGAACGUGCCCAGUAGCGGGGGAUAACUCCGCGAAAGCGUAGCUAAUACCGCAUACUAUUGGAGCGGCAGCUAUCGGAGUAGCUAGUUGGCGGGGUAACGGCUGACCAGGGCGACGAUCCGUAGCUGGUUAGAGCGGACGACCAGCCACACUGGGACGGAUACACGGCCCAGACUCCUACGGGAGGCAGCAGUGGGGAAUGGUGGACAAGUGGGGAAACCCUGAUCCAGCCAUCCCGCGUGUGCGAUGAAGGCUUUCGGGUUGUAAAGCACUGUUGUCAGGAGAGCGGUACCUGCAUAGUAAGCACCGGCUAACUACGUGCCAGCAGCCGCGGUAAUAC
rnacentral:rRNA from 1 species